rnacentral:rRNA from 1 species
CACCUCAAAUCAAACAAUUUGACCCGCUGAAUUUACGCAUAUAAAUA